CCGGAUUUGCACGACGCGGGCGAUUCAUAAUAAACAAAACAAGCCAACUAUCGUUUUUGGUAGUCUGUUGUUCUCAGAAUAGUGAGUUGCCAAAAUGAAGAAGGGACCUAGGUCGAAAUUGAAGGCCGAGAUCAAAUCAAAAACAACGUCUAAUAUUAAAUUGAGGCCAGCGGCGGAAGCAAUGGUCGAACUUGGAUUCCUUCUUUUUUUGAAUAAGCUUGCAGUGGAAGCAAGAACCAAAGCUUUUGAGGAUAAAUCUCUAACUAUAAGAGCUCACCAUCUACCGGCAAUCUCCAAGAUGUUAUUGAAAAAAUCAAGAGGAUGAAGUGAACGCAGUGCUUGGCGAUGGUCAUAGCCUUGCAUUUGAACACUGUGAAGGACUCAUGAACUGACUCGUGAGCCUUGAACUGAUGAAUAAAGUUGUUUUGUACGGUAGGAGUGACUGUUGUGAACUUGACUCCUGAUAUCGAACUCAGUCAGUCAGCUCAAGAUCAGGCAGCCAGGAAAUUGUCAAGAAGACACAGGGCAGACACUCGCCGCUCUGUUUUUUAUGUCUUACAAAAAUGUAAGUGACUGCAUACUUUAAGGCAUUAAUAUUUUUUUGGAAAUGCAGCCUUUCUUUGAUAUAUUACUGCGCUACUUAACAUCCGAUUAAACUAUCCCUGUUGUCCUAUGCGUUGCAUGAGUGGGGAACCUGAGGGGUUUUCAUGUUUUGGGAACAUUAGUCAGUAUCUCUGCUAGGUUCCCAAAACAGUUUGUUGAUUAAUUGAAAAGUAAUCAAAACUCGAUCCCUCUUGCUGAAAACAGCCCAAAAGAAAAGUAUGCAGUGCUCAGAAUUAACUCAAGGUUAAAGAUUAAACACGUAGCGCUUUGUCGUAUUUUUGGCCAAUCAUUUUGUCAAGUAGAUGGAUUCUAUAGUGGUACACUGGUCACACUGGUGAUCAUUCAUAGUUUACGUUCUAAAUUGAUCAUUUACAAUAUCCAGAAAAAAAAACAAGGUAAAAACAAGAUAAGAGACUAUGAAAUUGGUGUUCAUGUGAAUCACAGGAAACUCCCUGCAACCCUUUCAAACGCCUCCGUCUUAGUUUUGGUGUGAAAGGUACAAGGAGGGAAAUGGGACUAGGGCUACUGCUGAACAUUUUAAUGUUCAACUUCAUGGAAUUUGCCAAAAGCAACGGUGAAAACGAUGUUGACCACCAAUUGACAGAUAACUUGGUGGUGACUAGACCUUGUCAGGCCGCUUGUGUCACCUGCUCAACCAAUAACGGCUGUUUGCUGUGUAAGCCCCGCCUCUUCCUCUACAUUCAGCUGGAUGGGAUGAGGCAAAGGGGGCUAUGCCUGUCUUCUUGUCCUCGUACAUACUAUGGGGUGCGCUCA